CACCUCUCAGGGUCGUGUCUGGAGAGUUUCCAGGACUCAAUUGGUCUCGACUACGGGAGGGACAGUCAAGGAGAGGCAUAUUCAUUCCAUUCCUAGCUUGACCAGUAUCUAGCGAGUGGAAGGCAAUCUGCUACAAGU